GACGAACCGUGCGAACGUUGUUCGGAUUCACUGGGCUUAAAGGGCGCGUAGGCGGGUUCCCAAGUCGGGGGUGAAAUCCCACGGCCCAACCGUGGAAGAGCUUCCGAUACUGGGAGUCUGGAGGGAGGUAGGGGCGUGUGGAACUUCCGGUGGAGCGGUGAAAUGCGUAGAUAUCGGAAGGAACGCCGGUGGCGAAAGCGGCGUGCUGGGCACCUCCUGACGCUGAGGCGCGAAAGCCAGGGGAGCGAACGGG
rnacentral:rRNA from 1 species